GGCGGAGUAGAGCAGUUUGGAAGCUCGCAAGGCUCAUAACCUUGAGGUCACAGGUUCAAAUCCUGUCUCCGCAA
rnacentral:tRNA from 1 species